UCAUCUUUCUCGGCCUUUCGGCUAAGAUCAAGUGUAGUACUUGUUCUUAUCAGGCAAAUCUUUCUGUUUUCUACUUCCUCCGUUACUUUUUAAUAGGCCAGUUUCUAUAAAUAAAUAUUUCAAAAAAAUAGGUCAGUUUCCUAAUUGGGAAAGUCAAAUGUUAUUUUAAUUUUCUGGGACCACUU